rnacentral:rRNA from 1 species
AACGAACGCUGGCGGCAUGCCUAACACAUGCAAGUCGAACGAGAUCUUCGGGUCUAGUGGCGCACGGGUGCGUAACGCGUGGGAAUCUGCCCUUUGCUUCGGAAUAACAGUGAGAAAUUACUGCUAAUACCGGAUGAUGUCUUCGGACCAAAGAUUUAUCGGCAAGGGAUGAGCCCGCGUAGGAUUAGGUAGUUGGUGGGGUAAUGGCCUACCAAGCCGACGAUCCUUAGCUGGUCUGAGAGGAUGAUCAGCCACACUGGGACUGAGACACGGCCCAGACUCCUACGGGAUGCAGCAGUGGGGAAUAUUGGACAAUGGGGGAAACCCUGAUCCAGCAAUGCCGCGUGAGUGAUGAAGGCCUUAGGGUUGUAAAGCUCUUUUACCAGGGAUGAUAAUGACAGUACCUGGAGAAUAAGCUCCGGCUAACUCCGUGCCAGCCGCCGCCGUAACAC